rnacentral:sRNA from 1 species
GUUGGUGGAGGGGUAUGUGUAUAAUAAUAAUGAAAGCUAACACUUACUGAAUAUUUCCUAUGUCCUAGGCACAAUCUUAAGCACUUUAUACUUAUUACUAAUUUAAUCAUCAUUUAUUACUCAUUUAAUAUCCCAUUUUAUAGAUGAAGAAACCAAAACAAAGACAGAUAAGUAAUUUGACCAAAGUGUAUCAGUGUCCAAGAACAAUCUCAUUCUCUGGCCCCAGAGCCAGUGUUCAUUACUCGUUAUAUCAUUUGUAUGUGUUUUCUAAUACGAGGAAGUAUGUAUAUGUGUGUAUGCACAUAUAUACAUGUGUUUACAUAAUAUAUAAUUUAAAUGAUAACCAAAAUCAAGAAAAUAAAUCAGUGCUUAAUAAAUAAUAUGAUCAUCAAGUACUUAGUAUGGAAAGACUAUUAAAGAAGAAAACAAAAGAUUUUAGAUUUACUCUCAGCUGUGUGACCCUAAUCACUUAUCUUUACUCAGUCCUCAUCUGUGAUAAAUAAGAAUCACCUGGGGGCAGAUAGGUGGUUAAAAACAGAAAUUCCUGCACCCCAAGUUGGAACCACUAAAUCCACAUUUCCAAGGGAAGCCCAGUAACCUUUGUAUUUUAACAAUUAAACCGAGGGAUUCUUAUCAUUAUUGUCAUAGAAUUUUGAAAAACAUAAAUCAGUGUGAUUGUCAACUCUAGUUGCACAUCAGAAUCAACUUGGGAACUUUCAACCACACCAAUCAUCUCUGAUCUCCUUCUUCACCCCAAUUAAAAAAAUGAUUAAAAAUUAUACUCUUACGUGCUUUUAUUUAGUUGCCAGGAUAAGCUUCUCUUUCAAACACUUAGAAAUGUCUUUAAAUAGUCAAGAUUUUAAUGGUUUGUCUGAAUGUGCCGUGUAUUUUCUAGUGACAGCGAAGAACCUCCUGAAACCCUUUCUGAUAAUGUAGUAAACAUUUCUAUCCCGGUAAAAUAUGAAGUUGGACUACAGUUUUACAGGUAGGAGAAAACUACAUUUUUAUGUUGAUGCCUUUCUAUUAACCCAGUGGUUCUGAAAGUGUGGUCCCUGCCUGGCCAAGGGCAUCAGCAUCACCUGGAAACUUGUUAGGCAAAUUCUCUGGCCCCACCAGAAGCCUACCAAAUCAGAAACUCGGAGGAUGGGGUUAAACAAGCCUUCCAGGUAAUUCUCAUGCAUCCUAAUGUUUGAGAACCAUUAUACUAAAUAACCCAAAAUGUUAGGUGUUAGUGAUACCGGACUGCAUUUGCUGUCCAGUCUUAAUUCCCGAAUGCAAGUUGAAGACCCAGAAGUCCUUCGCAAAACACGAUAUUUUCUUAGAGGCUGCCAGCAUAUUUCUUGGUCAUCGUUCUCAUCCUGUGGAAGCUGAUCAGUCUUCUCAAUCUGGACACACAAGAUUAAAGCAUUUCUCAUUGAUAAGAGCUGUUUAUUUCUUCCACCAUUCAUAAAGCAUUCUUUCUCUUAAGAACUUCUUAUCUAUCCCAACACAAACCAUGUUGACAAACUUUCCCUCUAUAAUUUCCCCUGCUUAAGCAGAACUCCAAGCUUUUGCCAAAUAAACAUGUGCAAUAUACUUAAAAGGAUAAGAAUCAGUGGCAAGUAGGUUUAUUCUAAAAGUCUUAUCAUUUUAUUAAUUUUUUAAUAAUAGUGGCUAACAUUUAUUGAGCCUUUGUGUUCUGUCUUAUGUGAUCCUCAUGAUAACACUAUGGUUCAAAUACAACUACUAUCUCCAUUUUCCAGUUGAAGAAUUUGAGGUUCAGAGAGGCUAAUUUACCCAAGGUUAUAUAUUCAGGAAGUGUUAGUUUAAACCAUUUCACAUGCUUUUUUUUUCUUUUAAUUUAAAAACUGUUUUAAAUUGACACAUAAUAAUUGUACAUAUUUAUAAGGCGCUUGGAGACGUUGUGAUGCAAGUAAUAUAUAGCAACUACACAGGGUAAUUGGAACAUCCAUUGUCUCAAACAUUUAUCUUUUUUUUGUAUUGGGAACAUUCAAUAUCUUCCUUCUGGCUUGAUAAUUUAUUAUCUAUGGCACUCUCUCUUUACUAAAUGGAGACUACAAAAAUGGCAUGAUUAUAGGACAUACAUGUAGAUUGUGCUAAUAUUUCUCAGCCUUUAAAUUCUGUCGGCUAUUUUCUAUUUUUCUGUAUCCACUUCUAUUGGUGCACUGACUUUUCCCCAAGAGUUUUCCAUUUACUUAAAAUCAAAUUUUGGCAAACACUUAUAAAUAUUUUUUGUCUUCCCUUGACUGAAGUGCUGCUUAAAAACAUACUAUUUUACUCUACCAAGUUCAUCCAAAGAACAUGAUGAAGCUGUGUAGAGAAGAUUGAACUUUUAAGUUUAGCAGUAAAUAUAGGACUUUAAAUUAUGAAAUGGUAAAAAUUUUUAAUCUAUUUAGAAUUCAGCAUUACAUUUUAGUUUCAUUUUUCACUAGGUAUAAAUGGUAUCAGUGAAUUUACGGAAACUUUUCACUUGUUAACCAUGAAAUUUUAACUUUUAAAACUCAUAUUCUAGCAUUUUGGGGUCAAAUAAGCAUCAGUGACUAUUGAACUAAAUUACAUAAUCCUUCUCACUCUCCUCAAAGAUUUAAUUUUACGUUUCAAGGUAAAUGAAUUCCCCUAUGAUUUGAAAUCCCUACAAGUAUUUUUGUGGAAUUACAUGAUAUGGAGAAAGAAAAUAAUGAGGCCAAAUAAAAGUUAAACUUUGUUAUGUUUUAUUUUUCUUCUAAUUAAUUUUUUAAGCUCUGCAAGUGAAUACCACAUUUCAAUUGCUGCCAAUGAGACAGUCCCUGAAGUUAUUAAUUCUACUGAGGACAUUGGAAAUGAAAUUAAUAUCUUCUACUUGAUUAGAAAAAGUGGAUCUUUUCCAAUGCCAGAGCUUAAGCUGUCAAUUUCAUUCCCCAAUAUGACAUCAAAUGGUUACCCUGUGCUGUACCCAACUGGAUUGUCAUCUUCUGAGAAUGCAAACUGCAGACCCCAUAUCUUUGAGGAUCCUUUCAGUAUCAACUCUGGAAAGAAAAUGACUACAUCAACUGACCAUCUCAAACGAGGCACAAUUCUGGACUGCAAUACAUGUAAAUUUGCUACCAUCAUAUGUAAUCUCACUUCUUCUGACAUCAGCCAAGUCAAUGUUUCGCUUAUCUUGUGGAAACCAACUUUUAUAAAAUCAUAUUUUUCCAGCUUAAAUCUUACUAUAAGGGGAGAACUUCGGAGUGAAAAUGCAUCUCUGGUUUUAAGUAGCAGCAAUCAAAAAAGAGAGCUUGCUAUUCAAAUAUCCAAAGAUGGGCUACCGGGCAGAGUGCCAUUAUGGGUCAUCCUGCUGAGUGCUUUUGCCGGAUUGUUGCUGUUAAUGCUGCUCAUUUUAGCACUGUGGAAGAUUGGAUUCUUCAAAAGACCACUGAAAAAGAAAAUGGAGAAAUGAAAUAUUUUACGAAAGAAAAUAAUAACAAUUAUUCAAUAAUCUAUCCUCAGGUUUGCCUCAAAUAUGUGACAAGAAAUGUAUAAUUCAUGACAUAGUCAUGUAACUAUGUAAUCCAUCAGGGAUUCAUUACUUGGAAAAUGACAGGUCAUGCAUUAUCCAAAAACAAUACCAAAAAGACAUAUUUUAUAAAAUGACAAAAAAUAUUUUACAUAAUUACUCAUUUUUGUUGAGUAAGCAAAAUUACAAAGUGUUUUUUAAAAAACCUGUACAAAUAUGUUUAUGUAUUAAAUCACCAUCCAAAAUAUUUAAGGAAUAUAUAAAAAGAUUUUUAUGAUCAUAGAAACAUCUAUUUUCAAAACAAUAUAAAUUAAGCUUUCCCCCUUGAUUCCUGUUGGAUAUCCAUGUUCAGCAUGACAGUCAGCACUCGUAAAUGCCAAGAAAAGAAUUACCUGAAAAAGAUCAUUUCUCCCGAUUCAAAUGAGAAUAUUUUCCCUCGGUAGAAUCCAUAUACAAUAUGGAUUGAAAAUUAAGUCACGAAGAAUACAUUUAGCAUCUUUGUGUUGGGUUCUAUACCUAAAAAUUUUCCCUCCCGGCCCAAGGUGAUUGGAAAGUACUGCAAUUGAGCUAAAAUUUUAUCUAGGAUGGAAAAUCAGGAUAGUCUCGUUUAAAAACAAGUAUAUUAAAUGGGUUACAUUAAGCUUUUACAGAACAUGCUUAAUUUUGAUAUUGAGCUCUAAAUGCAAAACUCUUUUAUACUGAAAAAACACUUAAAGCAGUUUUGUGUGGCAUCACAGUGAUUUGUCAUGAAAAGCCAUAUAUGGAGGACAUGCUAAAAUGGCUUCUGAAUGAAAUACGACAGCAGAGAAAGAUGCCACUGAAAUGCUGAAAUUAUCUUUGCUGAGCAGCUUUUGAAUGCUAAGGGUUCCAGUAUGUGACCCAAAGAAGGAGUUGUCUCAACUCCUUGGUACAGGGUUCAUUCAAACCCCCAAGCUGUGAGAGUGUGUUUAUUUUUAAUUUUUUAAAAGGUAUUUAAUUUCCAACCACAUUUCUUAUUUUUUUGAAAAGACAAUUUUCCAUUUCAGUAUUACAUUUUACCAAGAAGUCACUGCUUUUUAAGUGUGUUGCAUCAAUAUUUAAAUAAAAUCCCAGAAAUGUAUUUUAAAGAAUUUCAGGUUUGAAAACUCAAACCAACAGAAAGAUAUCACACCUUUGUAUGUGCUUCUUUGUUCUUGAAGUAGUCAUUAUGGUUCAUUGGAAUCUACUGUAGCAUAAGCUCCUAGGUUGCUCCAUUUCUUAGGAAAAUAGCAAUGAAUGAAUGUAUAGUAGCUGCAUGUGUGAACUACUGCUGUAAAGUUUGCUGACAUUUCUGCAACAACAUUUCUCCAUCUGAUUUACCAGAACCUGUAACAAGACCAGAACAUGUAUUUAUCCAGAAACUCCUGGGCUCUGCUUUGUUCAAAGAGGAGCAAAUCCACAUAGAAAUUAAAUGUUAUAAAUUUAUUUUUUUUUUCAAACUAAUUUCCAAAGAAUUUAGCUGAAGACUCAGAGUCAGCCUACCUCUUGACUCUCCACAUCUGCAUCUAAGAUCCUGAAGGCCAAAGGAAUGUGCCUGUGGGAUGCCAAAGCCAUCAGUAGCUGGAAGAAAGAAUACCUCUUUCUAGAGGUUUGGUGUCCUCUUGCUGGCCUGUCAUUAUUUGGAAAUACGCGCUUUUGGAAUUUCCUUCAUUUUCGCUAUUUCCAGGUUCAGAAAUCAUACCCACUUGUUCUUUCUUUGCCCAGUAAAACUCAGGGUUUCUCUUAUUCAGAGUUACCAUGUUGCACACCCCCAGUGCUCAGCCUGCCCAGAAGCCCUGCUCCGAUCUCAGCAAGACCUUAGUAGUAAAGCUAACGGAUCCAUUGAAAUUCAUACUCAGCAUCUAUGACUACUAGACAAAGCCCAUUUACUGAACCAUGAGUGUGCACUUUUAAACUAAAUUGUUAACUGAAAGGGAAAAAAUAGAAAUGAGGGCAUUUUGAAGUUUUCAGAAAAGAGAGGAAGAGCUGUUGGCCAGAUCAAAGAGAUACUUAUAAGCCCGGCACAAUUUUUAACAUAAGUCAUUCAUGGCUAUUAAGUAAAAUAUUUCAUGAACCAGAAGUCCUGUUUCUCUAAUAUUAUAAUUUGUUGAGGUUUGUGUGUGUGUGUGUGUGUGUGCAUGUGCAGACACAUGUACACAUAUAAAUUGAAUACAAAAAUAGCUCAAUAACACCAAAAAACCGUUUACAGAAAAUAAACACAAAAGCUAUAUCUGCAAGACAAGUUUGAUUCAUCUAGUUUCAUAUAGUUUCAUUUUUAUUAAUAUUUAAGUUUAACUUAUAGUUCUGCAAUUAUUUAAAAAACAAGUACAGAGCGUUUGAUUAAAAAAAGUCAACAGAUGUUUCAAAACAGCUUUGUACAAAUGUUAUAAAAUGUAUUUAAUGAUUAAGAAAUGUACUAGACUCUAUCAUUUACUUUUAAAACAUUUAAUUAGAAAAACAGGUGAUAUUUAAGACUAUUUAUAAACUUAUUGGCUAAAUUGCCAAAAAGUUUCUUUUUCUCUAACUUUGGUAUUCUAAAUAAUUGAUUAUUGCUCCCAUUGUAAACUGAACCAUGUAUGCACUCUCUUUUCUGACCAAAGUACAAUGGUAUAUUGGUACAUUAUUUAACAACACACUGUCCAGGAGGGAAAAAAAAAAAACAGUCUCUGAUUUGUAUCAUUUGCCAAUUUCCAUGGUCCAAAUAUUCUCUCUCCAUUUUCAAACUACCAAAGUGACCCUAAUCAGCUUACAAAAUUCCUGGAAAUGUAUCUGCCAGCUCUUACCAACCAGUGUGAGCUGACUUCAGCACACCACUGAGACAGAUUACAUGAUAGAUAGACAGAUGAUAGAUAGAUAGAUAGAUAGAUAGAUAGAUAGAUAGAUAGAUAUAGAGACUGAUAGAGAACAUGUUGUGUCUAUAUACAUAUCCAAUGACACACAGUAUAAUCACGUUUUAAAUUUUGCCAAAAGUACUGAUUAUAUCAAGCCCAGUAGACAUAAUGCUACACAGCACCCAUUCUUUAAUUUUGAUUUCUAAAAUUAUAACCUUCCUUUGAUAUUAAUAAAAUGUUAUGAACUUGCAGGAGAAGGAAGGAGUUGAAAGAAGGAAAAUAUAAAGGGUGAUCCACAGUGAAAAUCAGACCUACACAGCAGCCACAAAAAAAUUGUCUCAUUUUCCCAAGGAAUUCAAAGUCCUGUGAGACACAUUACAAAAGAUGAUACUUUGUAACUAUUUUUAACUUCUAUGAUCCAAUUUCAACUUCAUUGGUCCAAUUUGUCAAACUAUUUUCCUGUGAGCACUAGAUUCAUGGGCAAUUUAAUCUCUGAAUAUUUUCUGUGUCAUAAGUGUGCUUGAAAAGAGGCUUGUAGUAAACAGAUAUUUUUACAAAAUUUGAUGCUUCUGCAACCAUAAUAAUUUUAUCUAUAAAUGCAUAUAUACAUAUAUAUAUAUAUACAUACACUCACAUGCAGAUAUUUACAUAUAUAGAUAUUCUCUUUUCCUUUUAUAAAAUCAAAGUCUAGGCUCAAUUGGAAAAUGGAAAUAUUUGCACCAAAAGAAAAAAGUGCCAUUGUUGUGAUCAAUGGAGUAAAGCUGGGGUAUAGCAGAGGCUGGGGAAGGCCUGCCCAUGUUCUCUCCAAGGCCACAGCUUGCACACCGUGAAUGGUGGCCCCACUGGCUCCAUGGAGUGUGCCUUCACACGGGGGAAUGUCCUUGUCCAACACGCUGUAAUCUACUCCAUGGGAACUGACUGUCCUGCUUUUCACAACAUUGAGAAACAGGCCCAGAGCCUGUCUCAUGUGCCAGGUGCAGUCACAUUAUUGUUCAAAUAAAGUGGCUUCUGACAAAUCAGUUUUUCAAAAUAGCAUCCUAUGUACUUUUCAUUUCUUCCAACAACCCUCAGGCCCCCUUUUGCCAGUUUUCUCCCCCAGGGGAGAUUUUCAAGACUACUGGAGAAAAAUCUGUUAAUAAAACAUUUGCUCUGA